GACAGAGGGUGCAAACGUUGUUCGGAAUUACUGGGCGUAAAGCGCGUGUAGGCGGUCAUGUAAGUCGGAUGUGAAAGCCCUCGGCUCAACCGGGGAAGUGCACCCGAAACUGCGUGACUGGAGUCUCGGAGAGGAUAGUGGAAUUCUCGGUGUAGAGGUGAAAUUCGUAGAUAUCGAGAGGAACACCGGUGGCGAAGGCGGCUAUCUGGACGAUGACUGACGCUGAGACGCGAAAGCGUGGGGAGCAAACAGG
rnacentral:rRNA from 1 species